rnacentral:tRNA from 2 species
CCUUCGAUAGCUCAGUUGGUAGAGCGGGGGACUGUAGAUUUAUAAUUGUGAUCCAUAGGUCGCUGGUUCGAAUCCGGCUCGAAGAA